GCCAUGGCACUAAGAGGGGUAAACUUGGCUGGAAGUGUGGAUACUGUAAUGCAAGCCACGCAAGCGGAGGUGCUACACGUCUAAGGGAACAUUUGUGUGGAUUACAAGGUUCGAGACAUGGGGAACCAACUCCUUUGCGUCCAAGAUCAACAAGAAAAAGGAAGCCAACUCUCAAGAGCAUUACUGAAUUAUAAAUGUGUUGUAUGGCUCCAAGGAAAAGAUCUGGAUAUGGCAAUGCUUCACUGAUUAAUGUCUUUUGGCGAUGUGUCGUCGGCUUAAAUAGACGCCUAACUUUUGUAACAUAAUAAUAUUUGAAGCUGCCAUUACUUUUACUAUCUAAUGGACUGUAAUAUGUGAUUUGGUGGUGACUUAA